rnacentral:rRNA from 1 species
AUUGAACGCUGGCGGCAGGCCUAACACAUGCAAGUCGAGCGGAUGAAGGGAGCUUGCUCCUGGAUUCAGCGGCGGACGGGUGAGUAAUGCCUAGGAAUCUGCCUGGUAGUGGGGGAUAACGUCCGGAAACGGGCGCUAAUACCGCAUACGUCCUGAGGGAGAAAGUGGGGGAUCUUCGGACCUCACGCUAUCAGAUGAGCCUAGGUCGGAUUAGCUAGUUGGUGGGGUAAAGGCCUACCAAGGCGACGAUCCGUAACUGGUCUGAGAGGAUGAUCAGUCACACUGGAACUGAGACACGGUCCAGACUCCUACGGGAGGCAGCAGUGGGGAAUAUUGGACAAUGGGCGAAAGCCUGAUCCAGCCAUGCCGCGUGUGUGAAGAAGGUCUUCGGAUUGUAAAGCACUUUAAGUUGGGAGGAAGGGCAGUAAGUUAAUACCUUGCUGUUUUGACGUUACCAACAGAAUAAGCACCGGCUAACUUUGU